rnacentral:rRNA from 1 species
AGAGUUUGAUCAUGGCUCAGGAUGAACGCUAGCUACAGGCUUAACACAUGCAAGUCGAGGGGAAACGAUAUUGGAAGCUUGCUUCCGAUAGGCGUCGACCGGCGCACGGGUGAGUAACGCGUAUCCAACCUGCCCAUCACUUGGGGAUAACCUUGCGAAAGUAAGACUAAUACCCAAUGACGUCUCUAGAAGACAUCUGAAGGAGAUUAAAGAUUUAUCGGUGAUGGAUGGGGAUGCGUCAGAUUAGCUUGUUGGCGGGGUAACGGCCCACCAAGGCUACGAUCAGUAGGGGUUCUGAGAGGAAGGUCCCCCACAUUGGAACUGAGACACGGUCCAAACUCCUACGGGAGGCAGCAGUGAGGAAUAUUGGUCAAUGGACGAGAGUCUGAACCAGCCAAGUAGCGUGCAGGAUGACGGCCCUAUGGGUUGUAAACUGCUUUUAUAAGGGAAUAAAGUGAGCCUCGUGAGGCUUUUUGCAUGUACCUUAUGAAUAAGGACCGGCUAAUUCCGUGCCAGCAGCCGCGGUAAUACGGAAGGUCCGGGCGUUAUCCGGAUUUAUUGGGUUUAAAGGGAGCGUAGGCCGGAGAUUAAGCGUGUUGUGAAAUGUAGACGCUCAACGUCUGCACUGCAGCGCGAACUGGUUUCCUUGAGUACGCACAAAGUGGGCGGAAUUCGUGGUGUAGCGGUGAAAUGCUUAGAUAUCACGAAGAACUCCGAUUGCGAAGGCAGCUCAUUGGAGCGCAACUGACGCUGAAGCUCGAAAGUGCGGGUAUCGAACAGGAUUAGAUACCCUGGUAGUCCGCACGGUAAACGAUGGAUGCCCGCUGUUGGUCUGAAUAGGUCAGCGGCCAAGCGAAAGCAUUAAGCAUCCCACCUGGGGAGUACGCCGGCAACGGUGAAACUCAAAGGAAUUGACGGGGGCCCGCACAAGCGGAGGAACAUGUGGUUUAAUUCGAUGAUACGCGAGGAACCUUACCCGGGCUUGAACGGCACCUGGAUCACCCAGAGAUGGGCGAGUCUUCGGACAGGUGUCGAGGUGCUGCAUGGUUGUCGUCAGCUCGUGCCGUGAGGUGUCGGCUCAAGUGCCAUAACGAGCGCAACCCUUGCCGCCAGUUGCCAUCAGGUGAUGCUGGGCACUCUGGCGGGACUGCCACCGCAAGGUGUGAGGAGGGGGGGGAUGACGUCAAAUCAGCACGGCCCUUACGUCCGGGGCGACACACGUGUUACAAUGGCGGCCACAGAGGGAAGCUACCCCGCGAGGGGAUGCGGAUCUCGAAAAGCCGUCCCAGUUCGGACUGGAGUCUGCAACCCGACUCCACGAAGUUGGAUUCGCUAGUAAUCGCGCAUCAGCCAUGGCGCGGUGAAUACGUUCCCGGGCCUUGUACACACCGCCCGUCAAGCCAUGGAAGCCGCGGGCGCCUGGAGUCCGUGACCGGAAGGAGCGGCCUAGGGCGAAAGUGGUAACUGGGGCUAAGUCGUAACAAGGUA